rnacentral:rRNA from 1 species
CAGUAAUGUGUGGAGCUGACUGGUACUAAUGGCCGACGACUUAUCAACACA